rnacentral:rRNA from 1 species
CCUACGGGAGGCAGCAGUGAGGAAUAUUGGUCAAUGGACGAGAGUCUGAACCAGCCAAGUAGCGUGAAGGAUGACUGCCCUAUGGGUUGUAAACUUCUUUUAUAUGGGAAUAAAACGUUCCACGUGUGGGAUUUUGUAUGUACCAUAUGAAUAAGGAUCGGCUAACUCCGUGCCAGCAGCCGCGGUAACACGGAGGAUCCGAGCGUUAUCCGGAUUUAUUGGGUUUAAAGGGAGCGUAGGUGGAUUGUUAAGUCAGUUGUGAAAGUUUGCGGCUCAACCGUAAAAUUGCAGUUGAAACUGGCAGUCUUGAGUACAGUAGAGGUGGGCGGAAUUCGUGGUGUAGCGGUGAAAUGCUUAGAUAUCACGAAGAACUCCGAUUGCGAAGGCAGUUCACUGGACUGCAACUGACACUGAGGCUCGAAAGUGUGGGUAUCAAACAGGAUUAGAUACCCGUGUAGUC